rnacentral:ncRNA from 2 species
UACAUUUGUCGUUGUAUUGGUGAAACAAAAGCUAUUUCGGCUUUUGAUUUGAAAAGGGAAUCCGGUUGAAAUCCGGAACAGUGCCCGCUACUGUGACAUCUAAAGGUGAAAAGAUAAGCACUUUGAAGCCACUAUUUCUGUAACAGAGGAAUGGGAAGGCUAUCUUUUUUGAUGGAGUCAGGAAACCUGCCAUACAAAUCAGGAAAAG